UACAGAGGGUGCAAGCGUUGUUCGGAAUUAUUGGGCGUAAAGCGCGUGUAGGCGGCUUUGCAAGUCGGGUGUGAAAGCCCUCAGCUCAACUGAGGAAGUGCGCCCGAAACUGCAGAGCUUGAGUGCCGGAGAGGGUGGCGGAAUUCCCCAAGUAGAGGUGACAUUCGUAGAUAUGGGGAGGAACACCGGUGGCGAAGGCGGCCACCUGGACGGUAACUGACGCUGAGACGCGAAAGCGUGGGUAGCAAACAGG
rnacentral:rRNA from 1 species